rnacentral:rRNA from 1 species
UAUUGCACAAUGGGGGAAACCCUGAUGCAGCGACGCCGCGUGAGUGAAGAAGUAUUUNNNUAUGUNACGCUCUAUCAGCAGGGNAGCNAAUGACGGUACCUGACUAAGAAGCCCCGGCUAACUACGUGCCAGCAGCCGCGGUAAUACGUAGGGGGCAAGCGUUAUCCGGAUUUACUGGGUGUAAAGGGAGCGUAGGUGGUGCGUCAAGUCAGAUGUGAAAGCCCGGGGCUCAACCCCGGGACUGCAUUUGAAACUGUCGAACUAGAGUGCAGGAGAGGUAAGUGGAAUUCCUAGUGUAGCGGUGAAAUGCGUAGAUAUUAGGAGGAACACCAGUGGCGAAGGCGGCUUACUGGACUGUAACUGACACUGAGGCUCGAAAGCGUGGGGAGCAAACAGG